UAGAGGCUCAGAAUAACCACACAGAG
rnacentral:misc_RNA from 1 species